rnacentral:rRNA from 1 species
GGGUUGUGAGGUUAAGCGACUAAGCGUACACGGUGGAUGCCCUGGCAGUCAGAGGCGAUGAAGGGCGUGCUAAUCUGCGAUAAGCGCCGGUAAGGUGAUAUGAACCGUUAUAACCGGCGAUACCCGAAUGGGGAAACCCAGUGUGACUCGUCACACUAUCAUUAACUGAAUCCAUAGGUUAAUGAGGCGAACCGGGGGAACUGAAACAUCUAAGUACCCCGAGGAAAAGAAAUCAACCGAGAUUCCCCCAGUAGCGGCGAGCGAACGGGGAGGAGCCCAGAGCCUGAAUCAGCAUGUGUGUUAGUGGAAGCGUCUGGAAAGGCGCGCGAUACAGGGUGACAGCCCCGUACACAAAAGCGCAUGUGCUGUGAGCUCGAUGAGUAGGGCGGGACACGUGGUAUCCUGUCUGAAUAUGGGGGGACCAUCCUCCAAGGCUAAAUACUCCUGACUGACCGAUAGUGAACCAGUACCGUGAGGGAAAGGCGAAAAGAACCCCGGCGAGGGGAGUGAAAAAGAACCUGAAACCGUGUACGUACAAGCAGUGGGAGCCCCACCACCAAAGCAUUUGCUGUACCGCGUUGACGGAGCGAAGCGACGUCAAACCGAUAAAACAGCAGUGUAAAGUGAGCCGCAGGGCGCUUUGCGCGACAGCGCAAAGGCAGGCGGUUUCGCGUAGCGAAAGCGAAUGCUUUGGGGUGGGGUGACUGCGUACCUUUUGUAUAAUGGGUCAGCGACUUAUAUUCUGUAGCAAGGUUAACCGAAUAGGGGAGCCGGAGGGAAACCGAGUCUUAAUUGGGCGUUAAGUUGCAGGGUAUAGACCCGAAACCCGGUGAUCUAGCCAUGGGCAGGUUGAAGGUUGGGUAACACUAACUGGAGGACCGAACCGACUAAUGUUGAAAAAUUAGCGGAUGACCUGUGGCUGGGGGUGAAAGGCCAAUCAAACCGGGAGAUAGCUGGUUCUCCCCGAAAGCUAUUUAGGUAGCGCCUCGUGAAUUCAUCUCCGGGGGUAGAGCACUGUUUCGGCUAGGGGGCCAUCCCGGCUUA